GACGUAGGAGGCGAGCGUUGUCCGGAUUCAUUGGGCGUAAAGAGCACGCAGGCGGUUUGGCAAGUCGGAUGUGAAAACCCGAAGCUCAACUUCGGGACCUGCAUCCGAAACUGCCCGACUAGAGGUAGGUAGGGGAGAUCGGAAUUCCUGGUGUAGCGGUGAAAUGCGCAGAUAUCAGGAGGAACACCGGUGGCGAAGGCGGAUCUCUGGGCCUUACCUGACGCUCAGGUGCGAAAGCUAGGGGAGCGAACAGG
rnacentral:rRNA from 1 species